rnacentral:sRNA from 1 species
GCGGAGGAAAAGAAACCAACAGGGAUUGCCCUAGUAACGGCGAGUGAAGCGGCAACAGCUCAAAUUUGAAAUCUGGCUCUUUCAGAGUCCGAGUUGUAAUUUGCAGAGGGCGCUUUGGCGUUGGCAGCGGUCCAAGUUCUUUGGAACAGGACGUCACAGAGGGUGAGAAUCCCGUACGUGGUCGCUAGCCAUCACCGUGUAAAGCCCCUUCGACGAGUCGAGUUGUUUGGGAAUGCAGCUCUAAAUGGGAGGUAAAUUUCUUCUAAAGCUAAAUACUGGCCAGAGACCGAUAGCGCACAAGUAGAGUGAUCGAAAGAUGAAAAGCACUUUGGAAAGAGAGUCAAAUAGCACGUGAAAUUGUUGAAAGGGAAGCGCUUGCAGCCAGACUUGCCUGUAGUUGCUUACCUAGACUUUUGUCUGGGGCACUCUUCUGCAGGCAGGCCAGCAUCAGUUUGGGCGGUUGGAUAAAGGUCUCUGUCACGUACCUCCCUUCGGGGAGGCCUUAUAGGGGAGACGUAAUGCAACCAGCCUGGACUGAGGUCCGCGCAUCUGCUAGGAUGCUGGCGUAAUGGCUGUAAGCGGCCCGUCUUGAAACACGGACCAAGGAGUCUAACAUCUAUGCGAGUGUUUGGGUGUCAAGCCCAUACGCGUAAUGAAAGUGAACGGAGGUGGGAACCUUAGGGUGCACCAUCGACCGAUCCUGAUGUCUUCGGAUGGAUUUGAGUAAGAGCAUGGCUGUUGGGACCCGAAAGAUGGUGAACUAUGCUUGAAUAGGGUGAAGCCAGAGGAAACUCUGGUGGAGGCUCGCAGCGGUUCUGACGUGCAAAUCGAUCGUCAAAUUUGGGCAUAGGGGCGAAAGACUAAUCGAACUAUCUAGUAGCUGGUUCCUG